GCUGACUAAUAAAAGUGUCUUCUUUGUGUCUACUCUGAUGGACUGGCUAGGAGCCAUACGAUAAUUGCCAAACUGCCCUCCAAAGAUGUUAUACCAAUUUAUAUUCCACCAACAAUAUAAAGAGUGUCUCGCCAAUCCAAAGUUUUGUCAAACAUCUGGAAAUUUGCCUAUCUGAUAUGUGAAAAAUAGUGUAAAAAAUUUGCCAACUUCUGAUACAGAAGGACAAGGAGAAGAGGAAAAGGAAGAAGAGAAGGGGAGGAGGAGGAGAAAGACGAGGAAGAGGAAGAGAAAAGGACAAAGGAGAGAAGCGGGGAAGAGGAGGAUGAGAAAAGGAGAAGGGAAGACAUUCUGAAAAUAAAUUGAAUUUUCUUGGCAUAGACUGUGCCAAGGAAAAAUAUUAAUUUGGAGAAAUAAACGAAACGGAGAUUGUAGGUUUGUUUUCCUCUUUUAUAGUCUUCCCCCUUGGUACAAGCCGAGGAGCUUUAUUUUGGUUUUAUAUUAUACUGCGGUCCACUUCACAAAGACCCACAAAUCUCUCAUCAUUUUUUUCUACCAGCCGAAGCCAGAAGUGCCUCCAGAGGUUCCAAAUCUCGUGCUUGUUCACGUAUUUAAUGAGUCCUAUGCAGGCUUCAUCCUCUUCAGAGGCGGUGACAAG
rnacentral:lncRNA from 1 species